rfam:Parcubacteria bacterium GW2011_GWB1_45_9 TX23_C0018, whole genome shotgun sequence.
CUUAUUGAGGAUUUGAUCCUGGUCCAGGAUGAACGCUGGCGGCGUGGAUAAGGCAUGCAAGUCGAACGGCCUUGUGUUUUGCACAAGGACUAAAAAACCCAUGAACUUAUGAACCCAAGAACUUUUUGUUCUUAAGUUCUUUUGUUCUUUCGUUUUUUUGUUCUCGCGCAAGGCGCGAGGCAGUGGCGAACGAGUCAGUAACGCCUUAGUACAUACCCUGAAGUUUGGCAUAGCUCGUCGAAAGACGAGGUAAUUCCAAAUAAUCUCCGACCCCGCAAGGGUGUCGGAGUAAAGAUGCAAAUCGCUUCAGGAGUGGCUUAGGUCUGAUCAGCUAGUUGGUGAGGUAACGGCUCACCAAGGCUAUGACCGGUAGGGGGGGUGAGAGCCUGUUCCCCGACGAUGCAACUGAGACACCCGACGAUGCAACUGAGACACGGUGCAUACUCCUACGGGAGGCAGCAGUCGAGAAUAUUCGACAAUGGGCGAAAGCCUGAUCGAGCGACGCCGCGUGCGGGAAGAAGGCCUUCGGGUCGUAAACCGCGAUAGCAGGGGAAGAAGCCUUGUGCGUAGCACAAGAACUAAAAAACUAAAGAACCUAUAAACCAAAGAACAACUUGUUCUUACGUUUUUACGUUCAUGUGUUUUUCGGUUCUCGCGCUACGCGCGAGGUUGACGGUACCCUGUGGAAAGAGGUGGGUAACUACGUGCCAGCACCAGCGGUAAAACGUAGACCUCAAGCGUUAUCCGGAUUUAUUGGGCGUAAAGCGUGUGUAGGAUGUUCGGUGCGUCUUUUGUUAAAUCUCGGGGCUCAACCCUGAGGCUGCAAGAGAUACGGCCGAACUAGAGGACGUCAGAGGCCAGUGGAACGCACGGUGUAGGGGUGAAAUCCGUUGAUAUCGUGCGGAACACCAAAGGCGAAGGCAGCUGGCUGGGACGUUCCUGACUCUGAGACACGAAAGCGUGGGGAGCAAAAAGGAUUAGAUACGAAAUCUUUGUGGAGGGUUUUCCUUUUGCCCGUAGAAACAAAGAGCCCCGAUGUAAAUCGGGGUUGUCAAAGGUGUCCCCCUCGACGGCGACGUCGGGGUGAGCAUCUAGCUGUAUCGGGGAACUCCGUCCUGUCGGACGGACAAUCCCGAGGGAAGUCGACAGAAUGCAAAAUUGAAAGUUCAAAUUUCAUUUUGUUUGACCCCGUAGAGACUAUGAAAUUGAGUUAAGAUAGUUGGCGCAUUAUGUCAUGAGCGUAUAAAAUAAUAAUAUGCAAAAUGAUAAAAAGUAUGUGCCUUUGUCGGAUCAAGCGCGAGCCGUUAUUUUAGGAACAAUCCUAGGAGACGGUUCGUUGAAGAUUCAAAAAAAAUGUGCCAAUGCGAAUUUACAAAUUCGUCAUUCGGAAACACAAAAAGAUUAUCUCUUAUGGAAAGCAGAUAUGCUUCAAGAGAUAGCGCGAGAGAAAAGUAUUAGUGUCCAAAGGGCCGACGGUUUCAGCGUAAACAGCAAGUGGCGGUUUAUAAGCAGAAAUCUGCCAGCGUUAACUGAAUUGCAUCGCUUAACGUAUAAAAAUAACCGAUUGCGCAUUAGACGCACUUGGCUGAACCGAAUGACCCCGUUAUCGCUCGCCGUAUGGUGGUGUGAUGAUGGCUCACUUAUUAGUUACGGAGGAAGAAAGGGAGUAUUUUGUACCGAUGGCUUUGACAAAGAAUCUGUCAAAAUACUAUCUCGCUACCUUAAAGUAGUAUGGGAUAUAAAAAAUAUCGUAUCUCCCAUAUCCCGUAUCUAUAAAGGAGAGCGGCGGCAAUAUUGGCGGAUAUGGAUCAGAUCGCAGGAGGAAUUAAAAAAGUUUCUUCGCAUCAUUCUGCCGCAUAUACCAACGCCGGACAUGUUGCGCAAAGCAAUACUUCUCUAUAAAGAUUCUCAAUUUCAAGAACGCUGGAUAUCUGAGGUUGUAAGUUUGAGCCGCUUUCCUCGUUCGGUUAUUUUAUCCGAAUACGAGAAGAAACUGGCUCGAUGGACGGCUUUCAGAUAAAGAUAUAGUCCGGACUCUAUGGCAACAUAGAGAAGCCGACAGAAAUGUUCGGCUCGCGUGACAAUAAUGCGUUAAGCAGGCCGCCUGGGAAGUACGAGCGCAAGCUUAAAACUCAAAGGAAUAGACGGGGACUCGCACAAGCGGUGGAGCAUGAGGUUUAAUUCGAUACUAAACGAGGAACCUUACCAGGGCUAGAAAUCUUGACGAAGACAUGCUGAAAGGCGUGUUGUCUCUCAAGGACGUCAGGACAGGUGCUGCAUGGUUGUCGUCAGCUCGUAUCGUGAGACGUUCCCUUAAGUGGGGAAACGAGCGCAACCCCUAUUGUCUGUUAUACGUGUCAGGCAAAACUGCCCAGCACUUUGCGCACAAGCGCAAAGAAAUCCUAAAUUCGAAAUCCUAAUCUCUAAACAAUCUCAAAAUUCCAAAUUCAAAUGUUCCAAACGUUUCGAAUUUGAGAUUUGAUUUUUAAAAUUUGUUUAGGAUUUAGAUAUUAGAGUUUAGAAAUUGCUUUGUUCGUUUGCGAACAAAGUGCUGGGAGGAAGGAGGGGACGACGUCAAAUCCGCAUGGCCCUCUGAUGCCCUGGGCUACACUCGUGCUACAAUGACCGGUACAAAGGGUUGCCAAACCGUAAGGUGGAGCUAAUCCCUUAAAACCGGCCCAAGUUCGGAUUGAGGGCUGCAACUCGCCCUCAUGAAGUCGGAAUCGCUAGUAAUCGCGGAUCAGCUAUGCCGCGGUGAAUACGUUCUCGAGUCCUGUACUCACCGCCCGUCACGUCAAGGAAGCCGGGAAUACCUAAAACUCCGUUUUGCGGGGUUAGGGUAAGUUCGGUGACACGGACGAAGUCGUAACAAGGCACGCGUAGCGGAAGCUGUGCGUGGAUUAAUUAAACU